CCAAAGACACACCAAGAUAUUUAACCAAAUAUCUGGGCACUCUGUGGACAAUCAAGUUGACACAUAGAAUUAACCGUCACAAUAUGUUACCUUCUCUUUAAUAUAUAUCAGCAUACAUUUCUUUGGUAGGAGAUAAAAUAGUAUUCCAUUUUGUAAAUAUAUGCCACAUUUUCUUUAUUCAUUCAUCCAUUGAUGAACACUUUGGUUGGUUCUAUAUUUUUGUAAUUGUGAAUAGUGCUGUGAUAAACCUGUGAGUGCAGGCAUCCCUUUGAAAUUCUGAUUUCUUUUCCUUUACAUAGAUACCCAGUAGUAGGAUUGCUGGGUCAUAUGGUAGUUC
rnacentral:lncRNA from 1 species